rnacentral:misc_RNA from 1 species
UCGAGUUUAUACAACUCCCAACCCUAUGUGAACCUACCUACAUGUUGCUUCGGCGGUGCCGCGCCAGGUCUGCUCCCCUGGGAGCUCCUGGGACAACGCGCCCGCCGGAGACCACAAACUCUUGAUUUUGCGAAAGCAGUAUUCUUCUGAGUGGCCGAAAGGCAAAAAAACAAAUGAAUCA